ACACUAAAAUGUUUGAUGCCAGAACGCAUUGGAACGAGCAGAAACGCUUCCCGAGUGCUCGGGAUGUCAUACCAGCAGGGCUUUGAUGUAAACAACAUACAGUCAAAGAAAAGAUCCUUUAUCACCAUCCCAAUGCUCAUGUUAGCAGGCCACACAUCAUCAUCAGCGGGCAGGA